rnacentral:rRNA from 1 species
UACGAAGGGGGCUAGCGUUGUUCGGAAUUACUGGGCGUAAAGCGUGCGCAGGCGGUGAUGUAAGACAGAUGUGAAAUCCCCGGGCUCAACCUGGGAACUGCAUUUGUGACUGCAUCGCUGGAGUGCGGCAGAGGGGGAUGGAAUUCCGCGUGUAGCAGUGAAAUGCGUAGAUAUGCGGAGGAACACCGAUGGCGAAGGCAACCCCCUGGGCCUGCACUGACGCUCAUGCACGAAAGCGUGGGGAGCAAACAGG